rnacentral:lncRNA from 1 species
AUUUGAGUUUAUGAAAAAAAGAUUGUCUUGGUUUUGAGUUAGAUGCAUAGGACAAAAACUUAGUUUAAUGAGUUUUUAUGGAUUUUAACUAUGACAAAUAUUUUUGUCUUUUUAUUUUGGUUUGAUUUUUCAGUUAGAUAAUUUAUGUACAAUGAUAUAUUUACAAAUAAAAGUUUUAUUAUUUUUUGUAUUUUAAAUUUUAGAUAAUAUUUUUGUAUUUACAAAUAUUUUUUAUAUUUU